CCUACGGGAGGCAGCAGUGGGGAAUAUUGCACAAUGGGGGGAACCCUGAUGCAGCAAUGCCGCGUGGGUGAAGAAGCACUCCGGUGCGUAAAGCUCUGUCAGCAGGGAAGAAAAUGACAGUACCUGGACAAGAAGCCCCGGCUAACUACGUGCCAGCAGCCGCGGUAAUACGUAGGGGGCAAGCGUUAUCCGGAUUUACUGGGCGUAAAGGGAGCGCAGGCGGCGUGGCAAGUCAGUUGUGAAAGCCCGGGGCCCAACCCCAGGAGUGCAGUUGAAACUGGCAUGCUGGAGUACCGGAGAGGUAAGCGGAAUUCGUAGUGUAGCGGUGAAAUGCGUAGAUAUUAGGAAGAACACCGAUGGCGGAGGCAGCUUACUGAACGGUAACUGACGCUGAGGCUCGAAAGCGUGGGGAGCAAACAGGAUUAGAUACCCGUGUAGUC
rnacentral:rRNA from 1 species